rnacentral:rRNA from 1 species
UGGUUACCUUGUUACGACUUCACCCCAGUCGCUGNUNNUACCGUGGUCCGCUGCCUCCAUUGCUGGUUAGCGCACGGCCGUCGGGUAGAACCAACUCCCAUGGUGUGACGGGCGGUGUGUACAAGGCCCGGGAACGUAUUCACCGCGGCAUGCUGUUCCGCGAUUACUAGCGAUUCCAACUUCAUGGGGUCGAGUUGCAGACCCCAAUCCGAACUGAGAUGGCUUUUGGGGAUUAACCCACUGUCACCACCAUUGUAGCACGUGUGUAGCCCAACCCGUAAGGGCCAUGAGGACUUGACGUCAUCCACACCUUCCUCCGGUUUGUCACCGGCAGUCUCCCUAGAGUGCCCUUGCGUAGCAACUAAGGAUAAGGGUUGCGCUCGUUGCGGGACUUAACCCAACAUCUCACGACACGAGCUGACGACAGCCAUGCAGCACCUGUGUCCAGGUUCCCUUUCGGGCACCAAUCCAUCUCUGGAAAGUUCCUGGCAUGUCAAGCGUAGGUAAGGUUUUUCGCGUUGCAUCGAAUUAAUCCACAUCAUCCACCGCUUGUGCGGGUCCCCGUCAAUUCCUUUGAGUUUUAGUCUUGCGACCGUACUU